GAUUAACGCUAGCGGCAGGCAUAAUACAUGCAAGUUGAACGGCAGCACAGGUAGCAAUACUGGGUGGCGAGUGGCGCACGGGUGCGUAACACGUAUGCAACCUACCCUAUACAGGCGAAUAACCUUUAGAAAUGAGGGCUAAUACGCCGUAGUAUUACAGAUGGGCAUCUAUUUGUAAUUAAAGAUUUAUCGGUAUAGGAUGGGCAUGCGUCCCAUUAGUUAGUUGGUAAGGUAACGGCUUACCAAGACGAUGAUGGGUAGGGGAUCUGAGAGGACUUACCCCCACACUGGUACUGAGACACGGACCAGAACCCUACGGGAGGCAGCAGUAAGGAAUAUUGGGCAAUGGCCGCGAGGCUGACCCAGCCAUGCCGCGUGCAGGAAGACGGCCUUAUGGGUUGUAAACUGCUUUUAUACGGGAAUAAUAGAGUGUACGCGUACAUUUAUGCAAGUAUCGUAUGAAUAAGCAUCGGCUAACUCCGUG
rnacentral:rRNA from 1 species